GUGCCAGCAGCCGCGGUAAUACGUAGGGUCCAAGCGUUGUCCGGAAUUACUGGGUCUAAAGGGUGCGCAGGCGGAUUUGUGCGUCUGGGGUUAAAGAACACGGCUUAACUGUGGGAGUGCCCUAGAUACGGCAAAUCUUGAGUAUGAGAGAGGAAGAUGGAAUUCCUGGUGUAGCGGUGAAAUGCGUAGAUAUCAGGAGGAACACCGGUGGCGAAGGCGGUCUUCUGGCUCAUUACCGACGCUUAGGCACGAAAGCGCGGGUAGCAAACAGGAUGAGAAACCCGUAGUCC
rnacentral:rRNA from 1 species